rnacentral:rRNA from 1 species
AGUGAACGCUGGCGGUAGGCCUAACACAUGCAAGUCGAACGGCAGCACAGUAAGAGCUUGCUCUUACGGGUGGCGAGUGGCGGACGGGUGAGGAAUACAUCGGAAUCUACUUUUUCGUGGGGGAUAACGUAGGGAAACUUACGCUAAUACCGCAUACGACCUACGGGUGAAAGCAGGGGAUCUUCGGACCUUGCGCGAUUGAAUGAGCCGAUGUCGGAUUAGCUAGUUGGCGGGGUAAAGGCCCACCAAGGCGACGAUCCGUAGCUGGUCUGAGAGGAUGAUCAGCCCAACUGGAACUGAGACACGGUCCCGACUCCUACGGGAGGCAGCAGUGGGGAAUUUUUGACAAUGGGCGCAAGCCUGAUCCAGCCAUACCGCGGGGGUGAAGAAGGCCUUCGGGGUGGAAAGCCCUUUUGUUGGGAAAAAAAAGCAGCAGGUUAAUACCCCGCUGUUCUGACGGUACCCAAAGAAUAAGCACCGGCUAACUUCGUG